CACAUUCUUUUUUAACAUUUUCAGGGUAUUUCCUGGAAAUUUGAACUCUAUCGUGGGGGUCAGAAGUUAAUUAUUCCUAUUUUGCUGACAAGGCAUCUGAACCCGGUGUUUGCUACUGGAGCAUUUGUUGUUCCUGCAUCUCUUUACUUCACUCUAAAGAAACUUUUUUUUAAACCUUAUUUUCUUAGAAGGAAUAAGCAGAAGGCUCGGGAGGAGGAGGAGAAAACUUCUGCUCAGGUA